UUUAAACGUAACCAUAAAUUUUCGUAUUCAAUUUUGAUCGUCCGUCUUACUUAAAUGUUUUUAUAAUUAAUAAUUUUAUUGUUAUUACAUGAUAAAACAUGAAUAAUAUUCUAUGCGUGAUUUAUGUUUUUUUUUUAUUUUUUCAUAUAUUUUUGAAAUAAGACAGUGUUGAACACGAAAAUUUAUGGCUUCACUUAAA
rfam:Oryza glumipatula chromosome 2, whole genome shotgun sequence.